rnacentral:rRNA from 1 species
ACUGAGCGAGAGAUCUGGGUCACCUCCCACCCGUGUUUAUUUACCUUAUUGCUUCGGCGGGCCCGCCUUCACUGGCCGCCGGGGGGCUCACGCCCCCGGGCCCGCGCCCGCCGAAGACACCCCGAACUCUGUCUGAAGAAUGAAGUCUGAGUGAAAAUAUAAAUUAUUUAAAACUUUCAACAACGGAUCUCUUGGUUCCGGCAUCGAUGAAGAACGCAGCGAAAUGCGAUACGUAAUGUGAAUUGCAAAUUCAGUGAAUCAUCGAGUCUUUGAACGCACAUUGCGCCCCCUGGUAUUCCGGGGGGCAUGCCUGUCCGAGCGUCAUUGCUGCCCUCAAGCCCGGCUUGUGUGUUGGGCCUCGUCCUCCGAUUCCGGGGGACGGGCCCGAAAGGCAGCGGCGGCACCGCGUCCGGUCCUCGAGCGUAUGGGGCUCUGUCACCCGCUCUGUAGGCCCGGCCGGCGCUUGCCGAUCAACCCAAAUUUUUAUCCAGGUUGACCUCGGAUCAGGUAGGGAUACCCGCUGAACUUAAGCAUAUCAA